rnacentral:rRNA from 1 species
UGGAAGUAAAAAUCGUAACAAGGUUUCCGUAGGUGAACCUGCGGAAGGAUCAUUACAGAAUGAAAAGUGCUUAACUGCAUUUUUUCUUACACAUGUGUUUUUCUUUUUUUGAAAACUUUGCUUUGGUAGGCCUUCUAUAUGGGGCCUGCCAGAGAUUAAACUCAACCAAAUUUUAUUUAAUGUCAACCGAUUAUUUAAUAGUCAAAACUUUCAACAACGGAUCUCUUGGUUCUCGCAUCGAUGAAGAACGCAGCGAAAUGCGAUAAGUAAUAUGAAUUGCAGAUAUUCGUGAAUCAUCGAAUCUUUGAACGCACAUUGCGCCCUUUGGUAUUCCAAAGGGCAUGCCUGUUUGAGCGUCAUUUCUCCCUCAAACCCUCGGGUUUGGUGUUGAGCGAUACGCUGGGUUUGCUUGAAAGAAAGGCGGAGUAUAAACUAAUGGAUAGGUUUUUUCCACUCAUUGGUACAAACUCCAAAACUUCUUCCAAAUUCGACCUCAAAUCAGGUAGGACUACCCGCUGAACUUAAGCAUAUCAAUAAGCGGAGGAA